rnacentral:lncRNA from 1 species
AGCAUAAUGUCACGCCUUGGGUCAGGCUGACUGAAAUUCCUGGAGUCACAGCCAUGCACUCAGGAGGCUAAGGUCCUGGCAUUGAACUCAGAUCAUCGGCUUUGGCAGCAGAUAUUUUUAGCCUCUGAGCUAUCUUGGCAGCCCUCUAUUUGCUUUGAAAAGCUACUCUGUACUUGGAGAGACACUGUGUGUGGAAGUAUUCACCAGAGAAGACUGCUCAGACAUGGGGUUAAGCCAGUACAAAGUCUUUAUCAGCCCGAGGGCAACUACAUUGGGUGUUCCGGAUCCCAGUGUAGCCAUGAGCCUUUCUCAGUGUGAGCUUUUAAGCACAAAACCAUAUUCUGGGUUAACAUACUUCAGUUAACAAGAACAGUUAGCUACUACAAUCAGAACUACAGGAGACAAAAAGAAAGGUUAGUACAAUUUAGAGAAUUUCUUUUCAUAACUGUGGACUUUGAUAGAUUAGGCCUUUGUUUUAGUGUUGGCAGGCACUGCUGUCCACAUGCAGUUUUACAGCCUGAAUGGUACUUCCACCAUGGAGUCAGUUGUGCUAAGGUCUGGGGCCCUAUAACAACUGUAGUUGGUAAUUCUUGUGUAUGGUAUUGGGGACUGAAUUCAGGGCCUUGCACAUGCUAGGCAAGUCACUGCACAGCCUACACCGCCCCUCAUCUGCUUCAUGCUGGUUUUUUUUUUUUUUUAAAGAUUUAUUUACUUUAUGUAUAUGAGUACACGGUAGCUAUUAUCAGACAUACCAGAAGAGGGCAUCAGGCCCCAUUAUAGAUGGUUUUGAGCCACCAUGUGAACUCAGGACCGCUGGAAGAGCAGUCAGUUCUCUUAACCACUGAGCCAUCUCUUCAGCCCCCCUUCAUGAUGUUUUUAAAAAGACAGUCUAUUACUAACUCUCCAAGCUAGCCUUGAGCAGAGGAUACAGACCUUGAAUUCACAGUCGUCCUUAUUCAGCCUCCCAAGUGACUGGGAUUAGGAACCUGUGCCAUCAAAUCGGAUUGUCAUUCGUCACUUUAAAGUUUCCACACUCCGAUUCUGGGCAUGCUUGCUUCUUCCUUACUAGAGACUGACAAAUCCGCUGGAAAAGAUUUUCUAUCUGGUGUGAAGCAGGAGUCCAUAUGACAGCCACUGGGCUCAGAAGCAUUUACAGGAACGAUCAUUAACCCGUUGCUCUACAACGACAACCCUCUGACCCAACAGGAGAGCACGGGCUCGGCUUUGUCUGUAGGCUCUCCACCGUAUGUGCUGUCCCACUCUACUGUCUGUCUAAAAUUACUCCAAGGCCUCCAUGUAUUUUUAAAAUAGCUUUUAAAGGUGUAUUUAUUUUUAUUUUACGUGAGUGGGUAUCUUGCCUGCGUGUCUGUCUGUGCACCACAUGAGUGCUUGGUGCCUGCAGAGGCUCGGGAUGAGACCGUCGAUCUUCUGGGACUGGAGUCAUGGGCAGUUGUGUGCUGUCAUGUGAAUGCUGGGAAUGGAACCUUGAUCCUUUGAAAGAGCAGCCAGUGCUCUUAACCAGUGAGCUAACUCUCCAGCCCAUGCCGCUGUGUCCGAGUUGUCUCAUUCUAUAGCAGAGCUUGGUGCUUGCUAACCUUCCAGAGUUUUUACUUUUUCACUGUUGGCAGCAAGGUGUGGUAGUACACACCUGUAACUCCUGGUCCCUAAGAAGCCAAGGCAAAAAGGGGGCCUUCUAGGCUAGCUUGGGAUACAAAGUGAGACCUAACCCGAUAAGAGAGAAAGAAGAGAAAAUGCAAAAUGAAACAAAACCAAAACAACGUGCAUUGGAUAUUUUUCGUCUGUUAAAUCUUGUGGUGCUGAGAAUUGAGCCCUAGAGAGGUCUCAUAUGUUAGGUGACAACUCUGCCACUGAGCUACAGCCCGGUGCCUGUUGGACUUUUAUCAAAGCUUUUAGCUGCAUUUACUGCAGUGGCUGUAGGCUUUCUUCUCCUGUUCAUGGUGAAUUACAUUCACGUUAAAACCCUCUUUUGCUAUAAAGUGCUCUGCUGAUUGUGUCACGGUGAUUUAUUUCCUGGUGUGGCAGACUUCCUUCUUAUUUUCUCCCUCUUUCCUUCCCUCCAUCCUUUCUUUUUGUCUCUCUUCAGUAGUGUGUGUGUGUCUGUCUGUCUGUCUGUCUGUCUGUCCUGAACUUAGGUCAACAAGCUUUUGUGGCCUUUACCUGUUGACCCAUCUUACUGGCACUGAACUGAACACUUUUUAAUGGGUUUAUAUUUUAUAAGUAUACUGAGGAAUCACAUAAUGCUGUCUGUACUGGAUAAAAUUCUCAGUCACCAGUCAGCAUUCUCCUUAGUGACUCGGGCCAUGAGGAUGUGUGUGUGUCCCUGUGUGGAGGCCAAGACACAUCGGGCGUUUUGCUCGAUCACUGCUCUCCUUGGUUUUUGGUUUUGUUUUUUGUUUGUUUGUUUGUUUGUUGUUUGUUUGUUUUUUGAGACAGGGUUUCUCUGUAUAGCCCUGGCUGUCCUGGAACUCACUCUGUAGACUAGGCUGGCCUCAAACUCAGAAAUCCAUCUGCCUUUGCCUCCCAAGUGCUGGGAUUGAAGGCAUGUGCCACCACUGCCCGGCUCAACUUGGUUUUUGAAGCAGAAUCUCUUACUGAAUGCAGAGCUCAUCAAUUUGGUUAGACUGGUUGGGCAAUGUGCUCCAGGAUGCUAUUUCCCCUCAGUGCCCCCUGCCAACACAGCCAGGCUUUCGUGCAGUUGCUGGAGUUCUGAAGGAAGGUCCUCACGCUUGCGUGACAUGCUCUUUACUGACUGGACCAUCUCCCUAGCUGCUCCUUCUCCCUUCUUUGGACCAGUAUGGAUUCAACUUGACAUGACUGCAGCCAUCUUGUGUCAUAACUGCCAUGACCUCCGCAAUGUAACUCUGGUUGUUUAUCCCAAAUAGUUUCCCAGCAGAUCAUAACUAGACAAAGCCAUUAGAGUAGAAGAUAGAGCUGCACCCAGACCCUGGCUGCAGGAACAGCUUUGGUCUCAGCUUAAGAUAAACCAGGUACCUUCCAACGUGGGUAGGGUCCUCCUAACCAGUAUGUAUGUCCUCCUUUGGGCUCAGAUGGUGGGUGGGUAACCCCCAUGCCUGUCCCCAACUAACUGUAUUCUGUGGGAUCCCAGAUCUGCCUGCCUCUUUCUUUGGUCUUCCAGUCUGUGGAGAGCAGUUCUCAGACACUAGGACCUGUACUAACUAGCAUUUCCUCCAAGACCACCUGGCUUCUACAUGGGAACACACUGAUCUCAGCUUUGGGGUGUUCUGUUUUAGGCUCUUAGACAGUUUCUGAGUUUCUCACAGCCCUAAUAAAGUGUAUGAAUAUGUAUGUGUUUAAACUUAGCAUCAGUAUUUUUUUUCAAGCAGGAGAGCCACCCUUUGAAAUAUCUUGUGAACCACACUGUUAGUGGCAGAAAUCUCUUUUGCAGCGUCUUCUAGAACAUUAUUCUAUGUGACAUCACCACCUUGUUCUAAAACGUUAGAUCUGUUUUCUUAAUGGACCAGCAGUAUCAUCUGUGGGGAGAGUUAAUGUCCAAAGCUUCCCCAUUCCACCGAUUCUCUGGGAUUCUGUAAUGUGGCUUAGGGGAGAGACUGGAAGUGGUGCACAACCAGGGUAAUGUCCUCCUCAUCACACAAGCCAGGCCGAUUCCGAGGAGCCCGAAGCAAGCUCGUGUACCACAGAUGAAAUAAGCCCCAAUAAAAGACCACCAACAGCCUAAUAGGGUAAUUGAGCAGCCGAAGAGCGAAAGAUUGAGAUACAGUGAUAUAUUGAACUCAGGGAAAUUUCGAAAGGAUUAACACAACAUUCAUUAUCAUUACAUUGGCUAUUGGUCACAGGAACUAAUCCAUUUGAAAUGAAACAUUAAAGCCCUUUAAUGGUGGUGGCUAUUUGUGGAACGAGUGGAGGUAUUGGAAAUGACACUGGGAAUAGUAGCAUGUUUCUGGGGUGGGCAGAAGGG